rnacentral:rRNA from 1 species
AAUAAGCCUUUACGGGGAAAGUUUUAACGCCGAAAGAUGAGCCUGCACUUGAUUAGCUAGUUGGUAAGGUAAAAGCUUACCAAGGCAACGAUCAAUAGCUGUUCUUAGAGGAAGACCAGCCACAUUGGGACUGAGACACGGCCCAGACUCCUACGGGAGGCAGCAGUGGGGAAUCUUGCACAAUGGGGGAAACCCUGAUGCA